UUUCAGGAUGAUCAAGCUAUUUACAAAGAAAACAGAGAGCAUUGAGCACAAGAGAGAGAAGAAGACGAAAUUAGGACAUUUUUCUUGUUAUAAAAGUGAAAAAAUUAAACGAUCAGGUGUAAACCAGAGAGAGUAAACUCUGGACUGGUGCUCAGGAGCUUCCUGGAGAAGUUGGGCUUGGGUCACGCCUUCUAGGAUUAGGACUAAUGAUCUGAAACCUCUGGAUUCUUAAAGAAGCGACCCAGAGUCAAGAAUAUCUGAUGAAUGUUUGGCAGACAGCCAGCAAUUGACAACCAUGCAGUGGGUCUGUUAUGAGUUCCUAAGUUUCACUCUCAGUGAGAAAGAAAGCCAAUAGGAGCCACAGGGAUAAAAACUUUGACUCUCAGGGAAGAGUAUUGGACUUAAUCUUCAGAGGCCUCCUGUACAUGUCAUUGACAUGUUAUGACAAGAACAGAGAGUGUGAUACUCCCCUGGAUAUGUUUAAAGAUAUCAGAAUCAUUUGUUUUGAACAUACAUGAUUAGGGCUUGGUGAUCCAAAGCACUAUGGAGUCCAGGGUUUACCUGUAUAUAUCUAACAAUCAUGGCUGGGAGCAGGAGAGUAGCUAAUAGAUCUUGAAGAGAGCUUUCCUCACCUUUCAGUGCUUCAAAGUAUCUGUAGAUUUCCCCUUUCCUCAUGCUUCUUUUUGGGGACACAGCAUGUUUUAUCCUAUGACUGGGCUGCUGUUCUUGUGGUUCCCUUGUGUUUUACUACAGGGUCUGCUAGAAAGGCAACAUCCCAACCUCCUAUCAUCAAUGAGCAAGCAGAGCAGAUUAAGAAGUUGGAGAAACCUGACUAUUGAGCUCCAGAAGAAGACCUAUUUUCUGUUGACUGGGCUCAUAGCUUGAUACUUGAAAUCUGGUAGACUACGCAAAGUGGAUCUGCUUUUGGAGGAAUUUGCUUACCUUGGAGGAGUUGGAAACAGUGAACAAGGAUUGAUCCACCACCUAAUCCCUUGCUGAGAACAAAGUCUACUCUUCACAGCCUGGUAACUUGCUUCUGUGGCCAGACAUGAAGGCUCUGAAGCACAGUUGCAUCCUGUUGAUCUGUGAAUUAGCUGAUAGAGGCUAUCAACUUGGUCACAUGAAGCAUAUGAGAGGUUUGACAAGACAGUAUCAGGCCAUUUGUGACACUGCCCAUCCAAUGGAAACAUGGAAGUUUUGAGAAUCACAGAGUGGAGUCUCAUGUCUGAACUUUGACACCCAGGGGCUGCCAGCAUCAGGAGAAAGGUAACAUGGGGCUUUAAUAAACAUGCAUCAUUUAAUAAUUCCUAGUCUCUUCCCUUAUUUUACACUUCCCUGUCUGUAUUUUCCUAGUGGAUGUUGUACUUAAAUGUAGUAGUGCCUGCCUUUCAGGAGUAUAGAAGUUGUCACAUGUGGCACCCAAACGAAGAAUUUGAUUUUUCUUCCCUGGCAGAAGCUCCUUACCAAUGAUCUACAACAUUGUAUUCCCUAUGUCUGCUGCUUUGUUUUGUAUGUGUGUGUGUGUGAGUGUGUGUGUGUGUGUGUGUGUUUGUGUGUGUGUGUGUUUGUAUCUGUCUGUCUGUCUGUCUUUGUCUGUCUCUUUCUUCCACAUGAUACCUCUCUAUACUUCAGUUUGGCUUCUUAAUUGCUCAUUCCAAGAUUGACCCAUCAUGCUUUCUCUGAGUGUUUGUUUUGAUGACUCAAAUUACACCUGUGUUAAUCAAUGCACCUUUAGCCAGAUCUGUGUACACUGAUCACAUCACAACCAGCCUCAUGGCUAAAAUAAGUAAUUUUUGAGUCUCUGAGGGAAGUUUUUUAUCAGAAUUUAUGUGUUUUCUGUAUUCUUCACUCCCCUAUCCGAACUGUUUUAGUCUUUGGAUCUUCCCCAAGUCUUUGCUUAAUUGUGUUUAUCUAUGUGCCUGGCCUACUGGGAAGACAUCAUCCCAACCCUCCAAUAUUACUAAGCAGGAGGAAUAGAUGAAGAAUUUGGAGAAAUUGGACAUUUAGCUACAGAAUAUGUCCCCAGGAUGGAUUAAAUGUGUC